UCCUUUGAUCAGCUAAUUUAAGCUAUUGGGCUCAUAACCCAAAAAUGGAAUUACCUCUUAGGAC
rnacentral:tRNA from 1 species